AAGGAGGCGCAGCCUAACACGUGCGAGUCGAACGGUAACAGGAAGCAGCUUGCUGCUUUGCUGACGAGUGGCGGACGGGUGAGUAAUGUCUGGGAAACUGCCUGAUGGAGGGGGAUAACUACUGGAAACGGUAGCUAAUACCGCAUAACGUCGCAAGACCAAAGAGGGGGACCUUCGGGCCUCUUGCCAUCGGAUGUGCCCAGAUGGGAUUAGCUAGUAGGUGGGGUAAAGGCUCACCUAGGCGACGAUCCCUAGCUGGUCUGAGAGGAUGACCAGCCACACUGGAACUGAGACACGGUCCAGACUCCUACGGGAGGCAGCAGUGGGGAAUAUUGCACAAUGGGCGCAAGCCUGAUGCAGCCAUGCCGCGUGUAUGAAGAAGGCCUUCGGGUUGUAAAGUACUUUCAGCGGGGAGGAAGGGAGUAAAGUUAAUACCUUUGCUCAUUGACGUUACCCGCAGAAGAAGCACCGGCUAACUCCGUGCCAGCAGCCGCGGUAAUACGGAGGGUGCAAGCGUUAAUCGGAAUUACUGGGCGUAAAGCGCACGCAGGCGGUUUGUUAAGUCAGAUGUGAAAUCCCCGGGCUCAACCUGGGAACUGCAUCUGAUACUGGCAAGCUUGAGUCUCGUAGAGGGGGGUAGAAUUCCAGGUGUAGCGGUGAAAUGCGUAGAGAUCUGGAGGAAUACCGGUGGCGAAGGCGGCCCCCUGGACGAAGACUGACGCUCAGGUGCGAAAGCGUGGGGAGCAAACAGGAUUAGAUACCCUGGUAGUCCACGCCGUAAACGAUGUCGACUUGGAGGUUGUGCCCUUGAGGCGUGGCUUCCGGAGCUAACGCGUUAAGUCGACCGCCUGGGGAGUACGGCCGCAAGGUUAAAACUCAAAUGAAUUGACGGGGGCCCGCACAAGCGGUGGAGCAUGUGGUUUAAUUCGAUGCAACGCGAAGAACCUUACCUGGUCUUGACAUCCACGGAAGUUUUCAGAGAUGAGAAUGUGCCUUCGGGAACCGUGAGACAGGUGCUGCAUGGCUGUCGUCAGCUCGUGUUGUGAAAUGUUGGGUUAAGUCCCGCAACGAGCGCAACCCUUAUCCUUUGUUGCCAGCGGUCCGGCCGGGAACUCAAAGGAAACUGCCAGUGAUAAACUGGAGGAAGGUGGGGAUGACGUCAGUC
rnacentral:rRNA from 1 species